rnacentral:rRNA from 1 species
GACGAACGCUGGCGGCGUGCUUAACACAUGCAAGUCGAACGGAAAGGCCCUGCUUUUGUGGGGUGCUCGAGUGGCGAACGGGUGAGUAACACGUGAGUAACCUGCCCUUGACUUUGGGAUAACUUCAGGAAACUGGGGCUAAUACCGGAUAGGAGCUCCUGCUGCAUGGUGGGGGUUGGAAAGUUUCGGCGGUUGGGGAUGGACUCGCGGCUUAUCAGCUUGUUGGUGGGGUAGUGGCUUACCAAGGCUUUGACGGGUAGCCGGCCUGAGAGGGUGACCGGCCACAUUGGGACUGAGAUACGGCCCAGACUCCUGCGGGAGGCAGCAGUGGGGAAUAUUGCACAAUGGGCGGAAGCCUGAUGCAGCAACGCCGCGUGCGGGAUGACGGCCUUCGGGUUGUGAACCGCUUUCGCCUGUGACGAAGCGUGAGUGACGGUAAUGGGUAAAGAAGCACCGGCUAACUACGUG